UACGUAGGGUGCGAGCGUUGUCCGGAAUUACUGGGCGUAAAGAGCUCGUAGGUGGUUUGUCGCGUUGUUCGUGAAAUGCCACAGCUUAACUAUGGGCGUGCGGGCGAUACGGGCAGACUGGAGUACUGCAGGGGAGACUGGAAUUCCUGGUGUAGCGGUGGAAUGCGCAGAUAUCAGGAGGAACACCGGUGGCGAAGGCGGGUCUCUGGGCAGUAACUGACGCUGAGGAGCGAAAGCGUGGGGAGCGAACAGG
rnacentral:rRNA from 1 species